UACGUAGGGGGCAAGCGUUGUCCGGAAUCAUUGGGCGUAAAGAGCGUGUAGGCGGCCCGGUAAGUCCGCUGUGAAAGUCCAGGGCUCAACCCUGGGAUGCCGGUGGAUACUGUCGGGCUCGAGUCCGGAAGAGGAGUGUGGAAUUCCUGGUGUAGCGGUGAAAUGCGCAGAUAUCAGGAGGAACACCGACGGCGCAGGCAGCGCCCUGGUCGCUUGCUGACACUGAGGCACGAAAGCUGGGGGAGCAAACAGG
rnacentral:rRNA from 1 species